rnacentral:rRNA from 1 species
UACGGGGGGAGCAAGCGUUGUUCGGAUUUACUGGGCGUAAAGGGCGCGUAGGCGGCCACGACAAGUCAGUUGUGAAAUCUCCGGGCUUAACUCGGAACGGCCAAGUGAUACUGUCGUGCUAGAGUGCAGAAGGGGCAAUCGGAAUUCUUGGUGUAGCGGUGAAAUGCGUAGAUAUCAAGAGGAACACCUGAGGUGAAGACGGGUUGCUGGGCUGACACUGACGCUGAGGCGCGAAAGCUAGGGGAGCAAACGGG